rnacentral:lncRNA from 1 species
GCUCACUGCAACCUCGGCCUCCUGGGCAGUCUAUUUCAAGGUGCAAACUCCGCCUCCUGGGCGGCCUAUUUCAAGGUGGAAGCCCCGCCUCCCAGGCAGCUUAUUUCAAGGUGGAAGCCCCGCCUUCUACGCCUAUUUCAAGGCGCAAGCCCCGCCUCCCGGGCGGCCUAUUACAAGGUGCAAGCUCCACCUCCCGGGCAGCCUAUUUCAAGGUGCAAGCUCCGCCUCCCAGGCGGCCUGUUUCAAGGUGCAAACUCCGCCUCCUAGGCCUAUUUAAAGGCGCAAGCCCUGCCUCCCGGGCGGCCUAUAUCAAGGUGCAAGCUCUGCCUCCCAGGCAGCCUAUUUCAAGGUGCAAGCCCCGCCUCCUAGCCCUAUUUCAAGGUGCAAGCCCCGCCUCCUAG